rnacentral:rRNA from 1 species
AUUGAACGCUGGCGGCAUGCCUUACACAUGCAAGUCGAACGGUAACAGGUCUUCGGAUGCUGACGAGUGGCGAACGGGUGAGUAAUACAUCGGAACGUGCCCAGACGUGGGGGAUAACGAGGCGAAAGCUUUGCUAAUACCGCAUACGAUCUAAGGAUGAAAGCAGGGGACCGCAAGGCCUUGCGCGUUUGGAGCGGCCGAUGGCAGAUUAGGUAGUUGGUGGGAUAAAAGCUUACCAAGCCGACGAUCUGUAGCUGGUCUGAGAGGACGACCAGCCACACUGGGACUGAGACACGGCCCAGACUCCUACGGGAGGCAGCAGUGGGGAAUUUUGGACAAUGGGCGAAAGCCUGAUACAGCAAUGCCGCGUGCAGGAUGAAGGCCUUCGGGGUGUAAACUGCUUUUGUACGGAACGAAAAGGCUCUGGCUAAUACCUGGGGCACAUGACGGUACCGUAAGAAUAAGCACCGGCUAACUACG